rnacentral:rRNA from 1 species
ACGUUAGCGGCGGACGGGUGAGUAACACGUGGGUAACCUACCUAUAAGACUGGGAUAACUCGGGAAACCGGAGCUAAUACCGGAUAAUAUUUCGAACCGCAUGGUUCGAUAGUGAAAGAUGGUUUUGCUAUCACUUAUAGAUGGACCUGCGCCGUAUUAGCUAGUUGGUAAGGUAACGGCUUACCAAGGCGACGAUACGUAGCCGACCUGAGAGGGUGAUCGGCCACACUGGAACUGAGACACGGUCCAGACUCCUACGGGAGGCAGCAGUC